AGCGAACGCUGGCGGCAGGCUUAACACAUGCAAGUCGAGCGCCGUAGCAAUACGGAGCGGCAGACGGGUGAGUAACACGUGGGAACGUGCCUUCUGGUUCGGAAUAACUCAGGGAAACUUGAGCUAAUACCGAAUAAGCCCUUCGGGGGAAAGAUUUAUCGCCGGAAGAUCGGCCCGCGUAAGAUUAGCUAGUUGGUGAGGUAAUGGCUCACCAAGGCUACGAUCUUUAGCUGGUCUGAGAGGAUGAUCAGCCACACUGGGACUGAGACACGGCCCAGACUCCUACGGGAGGCAGCAGUGGGGAAUAUUGGACAAUGGGCGCAAGCCUGAUCCAGCCAUGCCGCGUGAGUGAUGAAGGCCUUAGGGUUGUAAAGCUCCUUUAGCAGGGACGAUAAUGACGGUACCUGCAGAAAAAGCCCCGGCCAACUUCGUGCCAGCCGCCGCCGUAAAAC
rnacentral:rRNA from 1 species